rnacentral:rRNA from 1 species
GGGGAAUUUUCCGCAAUGGGCGAAAGCCUGACGCAGCAACGCCGCGUGGAGGAUGAAGGCCUUCGGGUCGUAAACUCCUGUCAGGGGGGAAGAAAGCCCUAAAAGGUUUGACUGUACCCUCUGAGGAAGCCACGGCUAACUCCGUGCCAGCAGCCGCGGUAAUACGGAGGUGGCAAGCGUUGUUCGGAAUUACUGGGCGUAAAGGGCGCGUAGGCGGCUGGGCAAGUCAGAUGUGAAAGCCCCGGGCUUAACUCGGGAAUUGCAUCUGAAACUGCUUUGCUUGAGUCCUGGAGGGGGUAGUGGAAUUCCCAGUGUAGCGGUGAAAUGCGUAGAUAUUGGGAGGAACACCUGCGGCGAAGGCGGCUACCUGGACAGUGACUGACGCUGAGGCGCGAAAGCUAGGGGAGCGAAAGGGAUUAGAUACCCCUGUAGUC